rnacentral:lncRNA from 13 species
AGAUAAGCCUAUUGUAGCUUGAGGAACAACUGAAUGUGUAUCACUUUUGCACCAUUGUAAAGCUGAAAAAUCUUAAACCAUUGUAAAAAUUGAGGGCUAUAAGUAUUUUUAUUGGGAUCCCAUUAAAUUUACAAAUACAUUAAGGACAACUAGUUUGUCUGUUUAUUUGUUUGUUUUUUGAGACAAAGUCUUGGUCUUGUUCCCCAGGCUGGAGUGCAAUGGCGUGAUCUCAGCUACCUGCGACCUCCACCUCCCAGGUUCAAGCAAUUCUCCUGCCUGCCUCAGCCUCCUGAGUAGCUGGGAUUGCAAGCACCUGCCACCAUGCCCAGCUAAUUUUUGUAUUUUUAUUAGAGACGGGGUUUUGCCACCUUGGCCAGGUUGUUCUCAAACUCCUGACCUCAAGUGAUCCGCCCACCCACCUUGGCCUUCCAAAGUGCUGGGAUUACAGGCAUGAGCCACCAUGCCCAGCUGAUAAGUAGAAUUUUUUUUUGAAGUUGACUCUUCUGUGGAGAGAUAAGCAAAUAAUAAUACUGUAUUAAUAAUUGCUUAAUAAUAUUACACUGCUUUUGUUUGAAUGUGUCCUCUCAAAAGCAUGUGUUGGAAACCUAAUCCCCAAUGCAACAGUGUUGGGAGGUGAUGCCUCAUGAGAUGUGAUUAGGCCACAAGAGUGGAACCUUCACAAAUGAAUUAAUGCAUUAGCUUGGGAGUGAGUUUAUUAUAAAAGGAGUCUUGCUCUGUUGCCAGCCUGGAGUGUAGUGGCGCUACCUCGGCUCACUGCAACUUCUGCCUCCUGGGUUCAAGCGAUUCUCCUGCCUCAGCCUCCUGAGUAGCUAAGAAGGACUACAGGCUUCUGGCGGGGGCAGCGUCAAGAUGGCCGAGAGGAGGUAACACCGGAAUGCAGCUCCCAGCGAAUGAGACGCAGAGGGCUAGAGGACUUCACCAUACCAACUGUCUCGCCUAGGCCUUGCCCGCCAGCAAUUCCCACAUGGCUACUGGGGCAACACCGUGAUACAUAUCCGAGAUAAAGUACAGGAAAAGCUUUUGCAGUGGACGAAAAUGUUGAAGGAAAUUGCUUUUCUUGAUAGCAAUCAGGUCACCAAAGUGAGAUGAAGAAAGUUUUUUGAGAAUGUGGGAUAGAAUAAUAUUGUUUUCGUUAUUUCUAAGAGUUAAACAAUUUAGGAUUAAAAAUUUCAAAUAUACUAGAGGGGUCCAUGAAUUUUAAUAGUAACAAAAUGGUUAUUCAAUAUUGCAA